rnacentral:rRNA from 1 species
GCAGUCGACGGGAUCCUCAAGCUUGCUUGGUGGUGAGAGUGGCGAACGGGUGAGUAAUGCGUGACCGACCUGCCCCAUGCUCCGGAAUAGCUCCUGGAAACGGGUGGUAAUGCCGGAUGUUCCACAUGAUCGCAUGUGAUUGUGGGAAAGAUUCUAUCGGCGUGGGAUGGGGUCGCGUCCUAUCAGCUUGUUGGUGAGGUAACGGCUCACCAAGGCUUCGACGGGUAGCCGGCCUGAGAGGGCGACCGGCCACAUUGGGACUGAGAUACGGCCCAGACUCCUACGGGAGGCAGCAGUGGGGAAUAUUGCACAAUGGGCGCAAGCCUGAUGCAGCGACGCCGCGUGAGGGAUGGAGGCCUUCGGGUUGUAAACCUCUUUUGUUUGGGAGCAAGCCUUCGGGUGAGUGUACCUUUCGAAUAAGCGCCGGCUAACUACGUGCCAGCAGCCGCGGUAAUACGUAGGGCGCAAGCGUUAUCCGGAUUUAUUGGGCGUAAAGGGCUCGUAGGCGGCUCGUCGCGUCCGGUGUGAAAGUCCAUCGCUUAACGGUGGAUCUGCGCCGGGUACGGGCGGGCUGGAGUGCGGUAGGGGAGACUGGAAUUCCCGGUGUAACGGUGGAAUGUGUAGAUAUCGGGAAGAACACCGAUGGCGAAGGCAGGUCUCUGGGCCGUCACUGACGCUGAGGAGCGAAAGCGUGGGGAGCGAACAGGAUUAGAUACCCUGGUAGUCCACGCCGUAAACGGUGGACGCUGGAUGUGGGGCACGUUCCACGUGUUCCGUGUCGGAGCUAACGCGUUAAGCGUCCCGCCUGGGGGAGUACGGCCGCAAGGCUAAAACUCAAAGAAAUUGACGGGGGGCCCGCACAAGCGGCGGAGCAUGCGGAUUAAUUCGAUGCAACGCGAAGAACCUUACCUGGGCUUGACAUGUUCCCGACGACGCCAGAGAUGGCGUUUCCCUUCGGGGCGGGUUCACAGGUGGUGCAUGGUCGUCGUCAGCUCGUGUCGUGAGAUGUUGGGUUAAGUCCCGCAACGAGCGCAACCCUCGCCCCGUGUUGCCAGCACGUUAUGGUGGGAACUCACGGGGGACCGCCGGGGUUAACUCGGAGGAAGGUGGGGAUGACGUCAGAUCAUCAUGCCCCUUACGUCCAGGGCUUCACGCAUGCUACAAUGGCCGGUACAGCGGGAUGCGACAUGGCGACAUGGAGCGGAUCCCUGAAAACCGGUCUCAGUUCGGAUCGGAGCCUGCAACCCGGCUCCGUGAAGGCGGAGUCGCUAGUAAUCGCGGAUCAGCAACGCCGCGGUGAAUGCGUUCCCGGGCCUUGUACACACCGCCCGUCAAGUCAUGAAAGUGGGCAGCACCCGAAGCCGGUGGCCUAACCCCUUGUGGGAGGAGCCGUCUAAGGUGAGGCUCCGAGUUUC